UUUGUAUGAAAAGUGAAGUGGAAACUAACACGUAUUGUAUAUUAUGUUUCUUUUUUGUUUUGUGUUUCCUAUAAUGUCCAGCUGCUGAUCUUCUUAGAUGCCAAAUAUGUCUCUUCUAAGCUCAAAACACGGGAAUCGCGUCUUGAAUUGGAUAGGAAAUAGUUUUUGAGCCCAACCUAUUUUUUGUAUAUUCUUUUUAUUCCAG
rnacentral:lncRNA from 1 species